rnacentral:rRNA from 1 species
UCGUAACAAGGUUUCCGUAGGUGAACCUGCGGAAGGAUCAUUACUGAGAGGGGUUUUCGGACCCCGGGGGCUCCGGCCCCCAACUCAUCACCCUUUGUAUAUCUACCUUUGUUGCUUUGGCGGGCCUUGGGGUUCGCCCCAUGGCGGUUUCGACCGUCUCGUGCCCGUCAGAGACCCAUCAAACUCCUUUUAUCAGUAUCGUCCGAGUAAAAACACAAUAGUAAAAAACUUUCAACAACGGAUCUCUUGGUUCUGGCAUCGAUGAAGAACGCAGCGAAAUGCGAUAAGUAAUGUGAAUUGCAGAAUUCAGUGAAUCAUCGAAUCUUUGAACGCACAUUGCGCCCCUCGGUAUUCCGGGGGGCAUGCCUGUUCGAGCGUCAUUACACCCCUCAAGCGUAGCUUGGUAUUGGGUCCUCGCCCCCCGGGGCGGGCCCGAAAAACAGUGGCGGUCCGGCGCGACUUCGAGCGUAGUAAAUUAUCUCCCGCUUUGGAAGUUCGCCCCGUGUCCGGCCAGAAGCCCAACUUUUCAAUGAUUGACCUCGGAUCAGGUAGGGAUACCCGCUGAACUUA